rnacentral:rRNA from 1 species
UACAGAGGGUGCAAGCGUUAAUCGGAAUUACUGGGCGUAAAGGGCGCGUAGGCGGAUAAUCAAGCUGGAUGUGAAAGACCUGGGCUUAACCUGGGGGUGUCAUUCAUAACUGGUUAUCUAGAGUAUGGGAGAGGGGAGUGGAAUUCACAGUGUAGCGGUGAAAUGCGUAGAUAUCUGGAGGAAUACCGGUGGCGAAGGCGGCAUCCUGGACCGGCAUUGACGCUGAAGCGCGAAAGCUAGGGGAGCAAACGGG